rnacentral:lncRNA from 10 species
AAAAUAAUAAGUCCUGUUUCUGGUCCUGAACAUCCAGAAUUAUGGAGGCUUACUGUGGCCUCACACCACAUUAGAAUUUGGUCUGGAAAUCAAACUUUAGAAACAAGAGAUCGUAAGCCAUUUUAUACUAUCGACCUAAAUUCCAGUCUAACGGUUCCUUUACAAAGUUGCGUAAAGCCCCCUUAUAUGCUAGUUGUAGGAAAUAUAGUUAUUAAACCAUACUCCCAGACUAUAACCUGUGAAAAUUGUAGAUUGUUUACUUGCAUUGAUUCAACUUUUAAUUGGCAACACCGUAUUCUGCUGGUGAGAGCAAGAGAGGGCGUGUGGAUCCCUGUGUCCAUGGACCGACCGUGGGAGGCCUUGC